ensembl:ncRNA C15A7.7 ncRNA
UCAGUUGACAGACAGCCGAAACGAGGGCACAAAAAAGCCGGGGGGGGGGGGGGGGGGGAGUGAAUGAAUGUGUCGGUGUCGACACAUGGAUCAACCCCUCCGUUGUUUUUUUUUUCUCGAAUCAUUUUCAAUUGGCCGUGCUUUAA